rnacentral:rRNA from 1 species
GCGGUAAGGCCCUUCGGGGUACACGAGCGGCGAACGGGUGAGUAACACGUGGGUGAUCUGCCCUGCACUUCGGGAUAAGCCUGGGAAACUGGGUCUAAUACCGGAUAUGACCUUCGGCUGCAUGGCUGAGGGUGGAAAGGUUUACUGGUGCAGGAUGGGCCCGCGGCCUAUCAGCUUGUUGGUGGGGUAAUGGCCUACCAAGGCGACGACGGGUAGCCGACCUGAGAGGGUGACCGGCCACACUGGGACUGAGACACGGCCCAGACUCCUACGGGAGGCAGCAGUGGGGAAUAUUGCACAAUGGGCGAAAGCCUGAUGCAGCGACGCCGCGUGAGGGAUGACGGCCUUCGGGUUGUAAACCUCUUUCAGCAGGGACGAAGCGAGAGUGACGGUACCUGCAGAAGAAGCACCGGCCAACUACGUGCCAGCAGCCGCGGUAAUACGUAGGGUGCAAGCGUUGUCCGGAAUUACUGGGCGUAAAGAGCUCGUAGGCGGUUUGUCGCGUCGUCUGUGAAAACUCGAGGCUCAACCUCGAGCUUGCAGGCGAUACGGGCAGACUUGAGUACUGCAGGGGAGACUGGAAUUCCUGGUGUAGCGGUGAAAUGCGCAGAUAUCAGGAGGAACACCGGUGGCGAAGGCGGGUCUCUGGGCAGUAACUGACGCUGAGGAGCGAAAGCGUGGGUAGCGAACAGGAUUAGAUACCCUGGUAGUCCACGCCGUAAACGGUGGGCGCUAGGUGUGGGUUUCCUUCCACGGGAUCCGUGCCGUAGCUAACGCAUUAAGCGCCCCGCCUGGGGAGUACGGCC